GCUCUGUCUCGCUCCCGGCAGCCGUCUCUGUCCCUGAGACCCUUAACCUGUGAGGGCAGCGCAGAAUUCACAGGUGAGGUUCUUGGGAACCGAGCGACUGGCCCCGACACAGCGCAGCCAG
rnacentral:precursor_RNA from 15 species